CCUACGGGAGGCAGCAGUGGGGAAUUUUGGACAAUGGGCGCAAGCCUGAUCCAGCAAUGCCGCGUGAGUGAAGAAGGCCUUCGGGUUGUAAAGCUCUUUUGUCAGGGAAGAAACGGUCUGUUCUAAUACAGCGGGCUAAUGACGGUACCUGAAGAAUAAGCACCGGCUAACUACGUGCCAGCAGCCGCGGUAAUACGUAGGGUGCAAGCGUUAAUCGGAAUUACUGGGCGUAAAGCGUGCGCAGGCGGUUUUGUAAGUUUGUCGUGAAAUCCCCGGGCUCAACCUGGGAAUGGCGAUGAAGACUGCAAGGCUAGAGUUUGGCAGAGGGGGGUAGAAUUCCACGUGUAGCAGUGAAAUGCGUAGAUAUGUGGAGGAACACCGAUGGCGAAGGCAGCCCCCUGGGUCAAAACUGACGCUCAUGCACGAAAGCGUGGGGAGCAAACAGGAUUAGAUACCCUGGUAGUCCACGCCCUAAACGAUGUCUACUAGUUGUCGGGUCUUAAUUGACUUGGUAACGCAGCUAACGCGUGAAGUAGACCGCCUGGGGAGUACGGUCGCAAGAUUAAAACUCAAAGGAAUUGACGGCUGAGACGNGCGAGACGACGACGAGGGAGAGG
rnacentral:rRNA from 1 species